rnacentral:lncRNA from 1 species
GAGACGGCGUAGCUUUGGGGGCAAUCCUAACUUGAACAAAGUUCCUCGUUCAGUGUCAAGAAAGUGACGUUUCUGAUUCUUACAGGCCUGUUGACAGUAAAAACACAGGCUGGAGCAAGCAGCAGUGGCAAGCUUCGCUGCUUGAGGGAAACAGUGCAAGAUUUUCUUAUGACUACGACUAACCUGCUGGUGGGGCAUCUGUGGGAUCACCACAAGAUCCCAGCAACACUUCUGAAAACAGAAUCACCAAUAAAUUGAGCCCUGCAUUUGUUAUUAGAGAGGAUCCCAACGGUGGUUAUUCUGAAUCUGACAACAGCUCUCCAAUCACCCGGGUUGGAAAGAGAAGGAAAUCAGCUGAAAAACACUAUAAUCAGCUUGGGAGUCCACUGGGGAAAGUACCCAAAGCAAGCACCAAAACUUACUUACAGAGUGUACGUAACUAUGCUGUGGUUUCACGUUUC